GAGUUUGAUCGUGGCUCAGAGUGAACGCUGGCGGUAGGCCUAACACAUGCAAGUCGAACGGCAGCACAGAGGAGCUUGCUCCUUGGGUGGCGAGUGGCGGACGGGUGAGGAAUACAUCGGAAUCUACUCUGUCGUGGGGGAUAACGUAGGGAAACUUACGCUAAUACCGCAUACGACCUACGGGUGAAAGCAGGGGAUCUUCGGACCUUGCGCGAUUGAAUGAGCCGAUGUCGGAUUAGCUAGUUGGCGGGUAAAGGCCCACCAAGGCGACGAUCCGUAGCUGGUCUGAGAGGAUGAUCAGCCACACUGGAACUGAGACACGGUCCAGACUCCUACGGGAGGCAGCAGUGGGGAAUAUUGGACAAUGGGCGCAAGCCUGAUCCAGCCAUACCGCGUGGGUGAAGAAGGCCUUCAGGUUGUAAAGACCCUUUGUUGGGUAAGAAAGUCCAGCUGGCUAUACCCGGUUGGGAGUGACGGUACCCAAAGAAUAAGCA
rnacentral:rRNA from 1 species